rnacentral:rRNA from 1 species
AGUGAACGCUGGCGGUAGGCCUAACACAUGCAAGUCGAACGGCAGCACAGUAAGAGCUUGCUCUUACGGGUGGCGAGUGGCGGACGGGUGAGGAAUACAUCGGAAUCUACUUUUUCGUGGGGGAUAACGUAGGGAAACUUACGCUAAUACCGCAUACGACCUACGGGUGAAAGCAGGGGAUCUUCGGACCUUGCGCGAUUGAAUGAGCCGAUGUCGGAUUAGCUAGUUGGCGGGGUAAAGGCCCACCAAGGCGACGAUCCGUAGCUGGUCUGAGAGGAUGAUCGGCCACACUGGAACUGAGCCACGGUCCAGACUCCUACGGGAGGCAGCAGUGGGGAAUAUUGGACAAUGGGCGCAAGCCUGAUCCAGCCAUACCGAGUGGGUGAAGAAGGCCUUCGGGUUGUAAAGCCCUUUUGUUGGGAAAGAAAAGCAGCAGGUUAAUACCCCGCUGUUCUGACGGUACCCAAAGAAUAAGCACCGGCUAACUUCGUG